AAAUUUGGAAAACUAAAAAAUUUGAAAAAAUAGACAAAUUAUUUUUUACAUUUUCCUUUAAUUAUUAUUUUCUUUCAUUUCUUUUCCUCGCUGCCUUCCAAAACCAGCAGCGGGGCCACUGCGAGCGCAACAACCUUCUUAGCCAUUCAUGUCAGAAACAUAACCCUAAAAGUUCGGAGUUUUCAUCUUGGUUUUGACUGGUAUAAUCAAGAUUUUGUUGGGUAUUUGCAAACCCCAAUUGCGCUUACCAACAAGGGCAGGUUUGAUUUUAUGAGAAUUGAAUUGAGUGGUGAAAUUCUUCAAUUUAUAUUGUUUAUUAGGUGAUUAGGGUUUCGUGGCAGCUGAUUGGUACUGAAAAUUGGGAUUUGCAGGGGACACAAAGCAAUGGUACCACGCCUAAGUUCGCAAGUUCUAAUUUCAAGGCCUGAAAAUCGCAUUUGAUAGUGGGAUUGAAAGAGAAGUUAAUUCGGUAUCCUGGAAAAAUUUUAAAGCAAAAAAGAUAAGUGGGUGGUGAUGGGAUUUUAGGUUGUUC
rnacentral:lncRNA from 1 species